rnacentral:rRNA from 1 species
UCAACGAGUCGGGUUGUUUGGGAAUGCAGCCCAAAUCGGGCGGUAGACUCCGUCCAAGGCUAAAUACAGGCGGGAGACCGAUAGCGAACAAGUACCGCGAGGGAAAGUUGAAAAGGACUUUGAAAAGAGUGUCAAAGAGUGCUUGAAAUUGCCGGGAGGGAAGCGGAUGGGGGCCGGCGAUGCGCCCCGACCGUAUGCGGAACGGCUCUUGCUGGUCCGCCGCUCGGGUCCCUCGGGGCACUGCGCUGCAACGGCCUGCGGGCUCCCCAU